rnacentral:misc_RNA from 1 species
AACCAUUCUCACCUGCGGCUAGACCUGCGGAGGGAUCAUUAAAAAGAGUGUGUACCCCUCUGUAAAAUGAGUGGGUUACCUCCCGUCCUUUGUUGACCUCUUAGGAGGUUAUUUUGAACUUUCUGCUUCGGUGGGGUUAAACCUACCGGAGCACCCUCAAAUUCUUAUCAUUUAAAAAUUGUUCAGUCUGAUUUUUGUUAAUAAAAACAAAAAACUUUCAACAACGGAUCUCAGAUCGGA